rnacentral:rRNA from 1 species
UACGGGGGGAGCAAACGUUGUUCGGAAUCACUGGGCGUAAAGGGCGUGUAGGCGGCUGGAUAAGUGGGAUGUUAAAUCCCCCGGCUCAACCGGGGACCUGCAUCUCAUACUGUUCAGCUCGAGCACAUCAGAGGAGACUGGAAUUCCCGGUGUAGCGGUGAAAUGCGUAGAUAUCGUAAGGAAGACCAGUGGCGAAGGCGGGUCUCUGGACAGUUCCUGACGCUGAGGCACGAAGGUCAGGGGAGCAAACGGG